UCGUCGGUUCGGAGUUCCUCUUCUUUUUCUUGAUUUUCUGGCUGCUGAACUGGAAAUUGAAGCAUAGCCUGUAUUAGAUGAGCCAAUGUCAAAGAUCAGCGUGCUUAACACCUGUGCAGGUUGAAAAUAAGGCUUGUUGCAUUGACUAGGUUCAGGAUGGGAUGGAGCAGUUGAUGGAUUAUGAUGGUGACAUGGCCGAAAUGUACCUUACUCGGAAGAAAAGGCAAGUGGCAGCAUUAUUCUGUGGUGACCAGUCUGUCCAAGGAUUCAGUUCUAUUGAGGCUGGAGUAUCAGUUUCUGCCCCAGUUUCACCUGUUUCUUCACCGCCUGAACAUCAAAUGCUUGAGAAGACCUUGAGCCUCACUAGAAGUAGACAAGGUAGUAUGAAAAGUUCAUACAGCAACACACAGUACGUAUAGGAGUUGGAGUUGUUGUUGGAACUUUGUGCUCAUUGAUAACACUCUUAACAUACUGACUUAAGUAAUCGAUGAAUUUUAGUUUGUUUUAUUUUUUUGAUAACUUUCUUUGGCAAUAAAUUUAAAUAUCUAAAGGUUGGUGGUCUGAUUAUCCUUUUCAGCUGAGGGAGUAAAAUUGAUGACACAAGAUUCUCUUAACAUUUAUCCCUUCUCCUGAGUUUAUGAUUAAUGCUUUACCAUG